GACGAACGCUGGCGGCGUGCUUAACACAUGCAAGUCGAGCGGUAAGGCCCUUUCGGGGGUACGACGAGCGGCGAACGGGUGAGUAACACGUGGGUGACCUGCCCUUAGCUCUGGGAUAAGCCUGGGAAACUGGGUCUAAUACCGGAUAUGACUCCAUAACGCAUGUUGUGGGGUGGAAAGCCUUGUGCGGCUAGGGAUGGGCCCGCGGCCUAUCAGCUUGUUGGUGGGGUGAUGGCCUACCAAGGCGACGACGGGUAGCCGGCCUGAGAGGGCGACCGGCCACGCUGGGACUGAGACACGGCCCAGACUCCUACGGGAGGCAGCAGUGGGGAAUCUUGCGCAAUGGGCGAAAGCCUGACGCAGCGACGCCGCGUGGGGAUGACGG
rnacentral:rRNA from 1 species